CAGCAACAUGUGUGCUCCUCAGGAAU
rnacentral:piRNA from 1 species